rnacentral:rRNA from 1 species
GACGAACGCUGGCGGCGUGCCUAAUACAUGCAAGUCGAACGCACAGUUUAUACCGUAGCUUGCUACACCAUAGACUGUGAGUUGCGAACGGGUGAGUAACUCGUAGGUAACCUGCCUGGUAGCUGGGGAUAACUAUUGGAAACGCUAGCUAAUACCGCAUAAUAUUAAUUAUUGCAUGAUAAUUAAUUGAAAGGUGCAAUUGCACCACUACCAGAUGGACCUGCGUUGUAUUAGCUAGUAGGUGAGGUAACGGCUCACCUAGGCGACGAUACAUAGCCGACUGGCGAGGGUGAUAGGCCAAACUGGGACUGAGACACGGCCCAGAAUACUACGAGAGGCAGAAGUAGGGAAUCUCCGGGAAUGGAAGAAAGUCUGAACGAGCAACGCCGCGUGAGAGACGAAGGUUUUCGGAUCGUAAAGGUCUGUUGUAAGAGAAGAACGGAUGUGAGAGUGGAAAGUUCACACUGUGACGGUACCUUAACAGAAAGCGACGGCUAACUACGUG